rnacentral:rRNA from 1 species
GAUGAACGCUGGCGGCGUGCCUAAUACAUGCAAGUCGAGCGAACAGACGAGGAGCUUGCUCCUCUGACGUUAGCGGCGGACGGGUGAGUAACACGUGGAUAACCUACCUAUAAGACUGGGAUAACUUCGGGAAACCGGAGCUAAUACCGGAUAAUAUAUUGAACCGCAUGGUUCAAUAGUGAAAGACGGUUUUGCUGUCACUUAUAGAUGGAUCCGCGCCGCAUUAGCUAGUUGGUAAGGUAACGGCUUACCAAGGCAACGAUGCGUAGCCGACCUGAGAGGGUGAUCGGCCACCCUGGAACUGAGACACGGUCCAGUCUCCUACGGGAGGCAGCAGUAGGGAAUCUUCCGCCAUGGGCGAAAGCCUGACGGAGCAGCGCCGCGUGAGUGAGGAAGGUCUUCGGAUCGUAAAACUCUGUUAUUAGGGAAGAACAAAUGUGUAAGUAACUAUGCACGUCUUGACGGUACCUAAUCAGAGAGCCACGGCUAACUACGUG